AGAGUUUGAUCCUGGCUCAGGAUCAACGCUGGCGGCGUGCCUAAUGCAUGCAAGUCGAGCGCGGACCUCUUCGGGGGUGCUGCGCGGCGGACGGGUGCGUAACACGUGGGCAACCUGCCCUGGGGUGGGGGAUAGCCGUGGGAAACCGCGGGUAAUUCCGCAUACGUUGCGUCUCCAGCCGGGAGGCGCAAGAAAGACGCUUCGGCGUCGCCCUGGGAGGGGCCUGCGGCCGAUUAGCUAGACGGUAGGGUCACGGCCUACCGUGGCGAUGAUCGGUAGCUGGUCUGAGAGGACGGCCAGCCACACGGGGACUGAGACACGGCCCCGACUCCUACGGGAGGCAGCAGCAAGGAAUCUUCCGCAAUGGGGGCAACCCUGACGGAGCAACGCCGCGUGGGGGAUGACGCCCUUCGGGGUGUAAACCCCUUUUCUGCGGGAAGAAGGGCUUCGGCCUUGACGGUACCGGAGGAAGAAGGACCGGCUAACUACGUGCCAGCAGCCGCGGUAAUACGUAGGGUCCGAGCGUUGUCCGGAGUUACUGGGCGUAAAGCGCGCGCAGGCGGCGGUGCUGGCCCGGCGUGAAAGCCCCCGGCUCAACCGGGGAGGGUCGUCGGGGACCGCACCGCUUGAGGGCGGUAGGGGCUGGUGGAAUGCCUGGUGUAUGGUGAAAUUGCGUAAAGAUCAGGCGGAACACCCGUGGCGAAGCGGCAGCUGGGGCCGUNCCCUGACGCUGAGGCGCGAAGGGCUGUGGGGACCGAAACGGGAAUUAGAUACCCCCGNUUAGUCNCACGCAUUAAACGAUGCCGGACUAGGCUGUGGGGGGAGUUGACCCCCUCCCGUGCCGGAGCCAACGCGGGAAGUCGCCGCCUGGGGAGUACGCCGCAAGGCUAAAACUCAAAGGAAUUGACGGGGGCCCGCACAAGCGCGGAGCGUGCGGUUUAAUUCGACGCGACGCGUAGAACCUUACCAAGGCUUGACAUGCGCCUGCAUCCCCCGGAAACGGGGUGGCCUUCGAGGGUGGCGCACAGGUGCUGCAUGGCUGUCGUCAGCUCGUGCCGUGAGGUGUUGGGUUAAGUCCCGCAACGAGCGCAACCCCUGUGGGUAGUUAACUGCUCUACCCAGACUGCCGGUCGCAAACCGGAGGAAGGUGGGGAUGACGUCAAGUCAGCAUGGCCCUUACGUCUUGGGCGACACGCACGCUACAAUGGCCGGGACAGCGGGUAGCCAAGCCGCGAGGCGGAGCGAAUCCCCCAAACCCGGUCUCAGUUCGGAUCGUGGGCUGCAACCCGCCCACGUGAAGCUGGAGUCGCUAGUAACCGCGGGUCAGCACUACCGCGGUGAAUAUGUUCCCGGGCCUUGUACACACCGCCCGUCACGUCACGAAAGCCGGCAACGCCUGAAGCCGGUGGGCCAACCCGGCGGGUUUCCCGUUGGGAGGCAGCCGUCGAGGGCGGGGCUGGUGAUUGGGACGAAGUCGUAACAAGGUAGCCGUAGCGGAAGCUGCGGCUGGAUCACCUCC
rnacentral:rRNA from 1 species